rnacentral:tRNA from 1 species
GCCUGGGUGGCUCAGUCGGUUAAGCGUCAGACUUCGGCUCAGGUCAUGAUCUCGCGGUCCGUGGGUUCGAGCCCCGCGUCGGGCU